GGAAGGGAAUUUGAGAAGAGCUUUCCACAUAGGUAUCUGAGUUCUUCACAUCUUCAGAAAGGCAACCUGAAAAGAGUUCAUGCGCUGAAGUGAAGGGGGUAGAGAAGCAGUGCUCAAACUCAGCAUCAGAAGUAAUUCCAGACAUGUUUCUGAUGGAAACUUUAAAGGAUGAACUCCAAAAUCAUUUUCCCAGGCAUCAGCAAGGUCCUUAUUCCUGUUCUUAAUGCACGGCUGGUAGAGAACUUUGACAGCAUUCCAC
rnacentral:lncRNA from 1 species